rnacentral:misc_RNA from 1 species
UCCGGCUUAUCACCGGCAGUUUCUCCAGAGUGCCCAGCUUGACCUGAUGGCAACAGGAGACGAGGGUUGCGCUCGUUGCGGGACUUAACCCAACAUCUCACGACACGAGCUGACGACAGCCAUGCAGCACCUGUGCACCUCCCACCCGAAGUGAAGAACUCUCUUUCAAGAGUUCAUAGAGGGCAUGUCAAAUCCUGGUAAGGUUCUUCGCGUUGCCUCGAAUUAAACCACAUGUUCCACCGCUUGUGCGGGUCCCCGUCAAUUUCUUUGAGUUUUAAUCUUGCGACCGUACUCCCCAGGCGGGGUGCUUAACGCGUUAGCUACGCUACUGAGAGGUAACCCCCCAACAGCUAGCACCCAUCGUUUACAGCGUGGACUAC